AGUGAGAGAGAGUGUGAGAGCGUUCUUAUUGGCUGUUCUGUACAUGCAUUGCGUGUGUGACAGGAGGGAGAGGGAGAGCUGCAGGAAGAGGUCUUACUCUACUUCAAAUUCUGGCUUUUUUGCUUUCUUCCCACUGCAGCUUUAACUGCUUCAAGUGGAUUUUUUUCUGCUUCUUCUUCUCUGCCUCUUUUUCCUGAUGAAUUGUAGACAUUAUGAGGUCACAACUCCUAAGCAGAAAGACAUUGUUCAGGAGAAUAACAAGACAUGUUAUUCUCCUGAACUCUGGAUGAAUCAAGACUCAGCAAUCAUUGUCUUUCUAGAAAACAUCUUUACAAAUUAACACUGUCAUCCUCUUUACUUUCUGUUAAUCUGAUUUAAACAUUUUUUUUUUUUUAAACAUAAAAACCUGUUCAACUCUGACCCUCAGAUUCAAAACUUCUCUAAAAACUGGAAUUAAGGGUGAG